GGUCUUGGUCUUCGCUGAGAAAGGUUGCCAGCGAUGGUCAAGCGGAUUUUCCUCGUGUUCCUCCUAGUGUCGGCGAUGGUUGCCUAUGCUGCCGCAGGAGGGCCGUUUAUCAAGCACAAGAUGAACCCUAUAAGGCCCUAGUGAAGGAUCGCCCAAACGGAAGGAUUUCCCGGAAGGAUAUGACGCCAC